rnacentral:rRNA from 1 species
AGAGUUUGAUCCUGGCUCAGGAUGAAUGCUGGCGGCGUGGAUGAGUCAUGCAAGUCAAGGGGACCGCAAGGUAACCGGCAGACGAGGUAGUAAUAUACAGGUACGCACCAUAAAGUCGGGCAUAGCUAUCCGAAAGGGUAGGUAAUUCCCGAUAGUCCUUCCGAGGCAAAGCAGUCUAUUUAUUUAGACUUGCGCUUUUUGAGCGGCCUGUACAGCAUCAGCUAGUUGGUAAGGUAAUGGCUUACCAAGGCUAUGACGCUUAGGGGAGCUGAGAGGCUGACCCCCACCGAUAGCACUGAGACACGGGCUAUACACCUACGGGUGGCUGCAGACGAGAAUAUUCGACAAUGCGCGAAAGCGUGAUCGAGCGACGCCGCGUGGUUGAUGAAGUCCUUCGGGACGUAAAGACCUUUUAUGAGGGAGGAAGUAAUUGACGUUACCUCAUGAAUAAGGGGCUCCUAACUCUGUGCCAGCAGGAGCGGUAAUACAGAGGCCCCAAGCAUUAUCCGGAAUCACUGGGCGUAAAGGGUGUGUAGGCGGUCGUAUUAGUCGUUUGUGAAAGAUCUUGGGCUUAACCUAGGAGACAUAAGCGAAACGGUACGACUUCGAGGAUGCGAGAGGUAUAUGGAACUCAUGGUGUAGGGGUGAAAUCCGUUGAUAUCAUGGGGAACACCAAAUGCGAAGGCAAUAUACUGGCGCACUCCUGACGCUGAAACACGAAAGCGUGGGAAUCGAAAAGGAUUAGAUACCCUUGUAGUCCACGCCCUAAACGAUCCGAACUAGUUUUAAGGAGUAUCGACCCUCUUUGAGACGAAGCUAACGCGUUAAGUUCGGCGCCUGGGUAGUACGAUCGCAAGAUUAAAACUCAAAGGAAUUGACGG